UGCCCUCUCCAAGGAAAGUAUAUAAGCUCUGAUUAAGCUGUUCUCAGGGCUCUCUGCUCUAUCCAAGUGAGCUCUGAGCCCCAGGAUGCUGGAGCCCCAAUAAACCAUUUGUUGUUGCUGAGUGAAAAUGUGGUUCAAAAACUCCCCCACUCUCUUUGAUGAAGCCCUCCCCAGAGAUCUCAACAACUUCAGAACUACGCACCCUGAAGUCACCCUGCUUCAAUAUGUGGAUGUCCUGCUACUGGCAGCCAACACCAAGGAAAACUUUGAGUCUGCAACCCAAGCACUAUUAUUUGAGCUUGCUCAACUCGGGAAUAGAGCUUCUGACAAAAAGGCCCAAAUUUGCCAGCAAGAAGUAAUCUUCCUGAGGUAUUCCCUUAGGGGCAGUAAAUGAUGGCUCACUGAGCCCAGAAAACAAACCGUUGUGCAGAUACCACCCCCAUCUAACAGGAGACAACUCAGAGAGUUUCUUGGGACUGCUAGCUUUUGCAGGUUAUGGAUACCUGGGUUUGUGUUCUUAGCUGCUCCUUUAUACCCGCUGUUAAAUGAGGAUGCUCAAUUCCAAUGGACCCCUGAGCACCAGCAAGCUUUUGAUAACAUCUAAGGACACUGACACUGAAUUCCUCAACUUCACUGAGCCCAGCCUGCAAUUACAGAAAGCCCUACACUACUUUAAAAAUGUACAUCAACUCACUCACCUUGGUUCAAAGAAACUGCAGGCAUUCCUGAAGGAUCAAGAACAGAGUUUUAGACUAACCGACUUACAGCAAAAGGAAAUAUCUGAACGGGUAAUAAAAGCCUGUCGGGUCUGUCAAUUGGUUAAUGCUUACCCUUCCAAACUUCCUGCAGGAAAGCACCUAUGAGGAACCAGACAAGGACAAUUCAGGGAAGUGGACUUUACUGAAAUUAAGCCAGCAAAGUAUGGACUUAAAUAUCUCCUAGUCUUUGUAGAUACAUUUUCAGGAUGGAUUGAAGCCUUUCCCACAAAAUUAAAAAAAAAAAAAAAAAACAAUGGUGCAAAUGGUGGUCAAGAGUAUCCUGAAAGAUAUUUUUCCAAGAUACGGCCUGCCUAAGGUAAUAGGGUCUGAUAAUGGACCAGCGUUCAUGGCCCAGGUAAGUCAGGGGUUAGUCAGGACCCUGGGGAUUAAUUGGAAGUUACAUUGUGCUUAUAGACCCCAGAGCUCAGGACAGGUAAAAAAAUAAAUAGAACCAUUAAAGAGACCUUAAAGAAAUUAAGCUUAGAGACCAGCAUAAGAGAUUGGACUAUGCUCCUGCCUUAUGCACUGUUUCACGCAAGAAAUUCUCCCUCUGUUUCUUUGUGUAACAUAUCCCCCUAUGAAAUUCUCUAUGGUGCCCCUCCUCCAGUAAGGGACCUAACCCCAACUCUAAGACCUAACGAUCCCUUCCACACCCCCUUGCUUGACAGACUAAAAGCUCUCGAAAGAACUCAGUGAUACCUGUUGAAACAGCUGGCCACUGCCUACCAACCUGGGGACGAGGGGACUCCACAUCAAUAUCAAGUAAGAGACUUCGUCUACAUAAGACGUCAUCAGGUGUCAUCCCUGCAACCCCGCUGGAAAGGACCAUACCAGGUGCUACUUAUAACACCUACAGUGGUAAAGGUAGACGGAAUCACUUCCUGGAUCCAUGCCUCUCAUCUCAAGCCUGUGCCCUGUCCAGACUCUGGCUGGAAACUGGAAAAGACUGGUAACCCUUUCAAAUUGCGUAUUCACCAUGUGGAUAGGGCUAUAAACUGUCCCCUUGGCCACCAGUAGUCCUAACCCUCAUCAGCCCAUUCAGCAGCAAUGGCUGAUCACAAAUCCUACUAGACAAGAAGUAUGGUCUAUCUAGCAUACAGCCCCCUUAGGGGUCUGCUGGCCAUCUCUCCACCCAGAUAUUUGUCAGAUGGCUACAGGUCUUUCCUAUUGGGAUAUCCUAAAUGAAGAGGAUCCCACUAAAAUUCCAUUAAAUACCUUCUGUACCAUAGAUAAUGGAAACAAACAUUAUGGAUGUAGGGACACGCUACCAGAUGCAGGUUGGCUAUCCUAGAUUACUAUGUCUGCCCGGCAGACUAUCAAAGCCACAAACAGCCAUGGCUGUGUGGGGGAAAAGCCGACUUCUUCUGUAAGUCAUGGGGAUGUGAGCAUACUGGGGGUACCUGGUGGAACCCAAACUGCUCAUCAAAUUCAGUACACAGCAUUGGCCAUAUUACCAAUUAGAGAACGAAAACCGAUGGCCCCCAGAUGGGUCUCUGGAUCUUCAAAUUCUGUGUGACCUUUUUAACUUCUGCAAGUGCUCAAAAGGGUGAAUGGAGAUACCCCUAUGUGGAGGCCUUUUCCCUCCUUCGCACACAUCCUGAACUAUGCUUCUCCAAUAGAUCCUCACCCUCAGCCUUCUGCUCCAGACUCUCUGCUGUCACUCCCACCUCAGCAACUUGAUUUCUCCCCUCCAAUUACCAUAUCAAAAACCCAAACCUCGGCCGGUUCUCAGACCAUUGCCCCCUUGCUGAGGUAUCAGGUACUGAGGCACCCCUCCACCCACUCACUCCUCUCUUCUCCUGUCAGUGCACGCACCGGGUCCCACCAGGUCCACUUACCAGCUAACCCAAAGCUCAAACCAGCUGAGGAGAACCCUCAGACCUCUAUCCAAGAUGUAAUGAAAAUGUCCUUUAAAGUUGCUUUGUCAUCACUGAAAACAGGUUACUAAGAAUUUAAAGUCCCUCACAGGCUUUUUGGGAUACUCACUCCCAUCUUCCCCUGGGCUCUAUCUGUUCUACUGUUCAAGUUUUUGUUGCUAGGAAAAUCCCAAACCCCUUUCCUAUUAUUCUUUUACAUCUCUCCUUCCUCAUACUCAGAUCCACGGAGCUUCUCUCACACCCCACCUUCCCCGUCUUCCCCCUCUGUACCCGGCCCACAGAAAAGUCUUAACUGACCUUCUCCAGAUGUCUUCACCAUGGCUGACUUUAGGACUUUCAGCAAAAGAGUCCCUAUAAACGAGUUCAAUGUAGAUAAACUUCCUGUUUUCAUGUUGCCUGUUCUACUUGGGCACUGGCUGGAAAAAUCAGCACUCCUAAGCUAGACACCCCCCUUACUAGUUUUUCACAAAAUAUGUGAACAAGGCCCCUGGCCUUGAGCUGGGGCUUCACAGAGAUGGCUACAUUUCUAAGAUAAAUAAGUUACCAACUGGGCUCCUUUGGUAACAGCUGGCAGGGAGAAAAAAAAAGAGAAGAAAAAAGCUCUCCCCCUCCUAGGUGUCCUUAAAAAUGUAACUUGCCCAGAACAGAGGAAAAAAAAAAACAGAAAUAAAAACUGCUUUUUGUGAACUUCUGCAGACUGUGAACUUCUGAGCCCCUUCACUUACAUGUUGGGUACAAAAUUCUGAAACUACCUAAACUUUGGGUUCAGGGAAUUAAUUGAUUACAACAGAAGCAAUGCCUUCUAAAUCAGGUUGCAACUAAAUAGGACUGUUUCCCUGUCUUCCGUUCUAUCUUAGGUGCUUAUCCUUAUCCAUACCUACAACAAUAUAAUUCUAUAUACUUAAACACUGUGUAUGUUUUCAUAAAAUGGUCAACAGAUGUGAUUAAUUAUGUAAUAGUGUAGAUGUUUCCCAGAGUGCUCUAUCAUGACGCAGGAUCAUUUAAAGUUCAAAUAGGGGGGCAUACAACCCAGUUCUGCCAGAAACCUGUAUCCCUCACUUUAGCCAUCCUAUUAGGAAUAGGAGUUGCUGCAGGGUUGGGCACAGGAACCACUGCCCUAGUCCAUGGGACACAACAAAUCACCCAAUUAGAAGCAGCAAUAGACCAAAACUUAAAGAUAUUAAUAACCUCCAUCACAACUUUACAGGAAUCUUUAACCUCUCUCUCUGAAGUUGUUUUACAGAACAGGCAAGGGUUAGAACUCCUUUUCAUGAGAAAAGGGGGCCUUUAUGCUGCAUUGAGGGAAAAAAUGUUGUUUUUAUGACUACCAUACUGGUUGUAAAAGAAUCUAUGAGUAAAUUAAGAAGACGCCUUGAAGAGCAUCAACGAGAGAGAGAGGCCCAAAAAGGGUGGUUUGAGUCUUUGUUAACAUAGUCCCCCUGGUUAACUACACUUUUAUCAGCCCUGGCCGGUCCUUUAAUAAUCCUUAUUUAUUGCUAACUGUAGGACAUUGCUUGCUCCAACGUGUAGUUUCAUUUCUCCAAGCUCAAAUUGGACAAGUUAAACUUUUGGUAAUCAGACAACAACAUACCCCACUAGCAGACAUAAAAUGUAACACCGUCCAAUGAUCACUUUUAUGAUUAAAAGUAACCAGAAGAAGUGGGGAAUGAAAGGUUAAUAAAAUAGGUAUUUGUCACUUCCUGUUUUUCUGUAUACUUAACAAAACACUGUUGAAAUCUUGAGAACUGUUUGCUAAUCUUAUUCCCAGAAUGUGCAGUCCCCAACUGCCAAACUGCAGAAUGUACUCCCUCACCUGGUUGCACGCAAACCACCCACUCGCCCAGACCCAUCAACAAACUUCCCUCCCUGGCGUCUCCAAGGAAAGUAUAUAAGCUCUGCUUAAGCUGAUCUCAGGGCUCUCUGCUCUAUUCAAGUGAGCUCUGAGCCCCAGAAUGUUGGACCCCCAACAAACCCUUUGCUGUUGCAU